GACGAACGCUGGCGGCGUGCUUAACACAUGCAAGUCGAACGGUAAGGCCCUUCGGGGUACACGAGUGGCGAACGGGUGAGUAACACGUGGGUGAUCUGCCCUGCACUUCGGGAUAAGCCUGGGAAACUGGGUCUAAUACCGGAUAGGACUCCGGACUGCAUGGUCUGGGGUGGAAAGCUUUUGCGGUGUGGGAUGGGCCCGCGGCCUAUCAGCUUGUUGGUGGGGUGAUGGCCUACCAAGGCGACGACGGGUAGCCGGCCUGAGAGGGUGACCGGCCACACUGGGAAUGAGAUACGGCCCAGACUCCGACGGGAGGCAGCAGUGGGGAAUAUUGCACAAUGGGCGCAAGCCUGAUGCAGCGACGCCGCGUGAGGGAUGACGGCCUUCGGGUUGUAAACCUCUUUCAGCAUCGACGAAGCGAAAGUGACGGUAGGUGCAGAAGAAGGACCGGCCAACUACGUGCCAGCCGCCGCAGUAA
rnacentral:rRNA from 1 species